rnacentral:lncRNA from 1 species
GUGUGUACUAAGUUUGAAGUUGAUUGGACUUUCAACUUCAUCAAAAACUACCAUGACCAAAAACUUUAACCUGAAACUCCCACUUUCAUUUUCUAUGUUCAGUGGACCAUGAAAUUGGGGUCAAAAGUGUAAUUGGGCUUUAAAAUUAGAAAGAUCAUAUCAUAAGCAACACGUGUACUAAGUUUCAAUUUGAUUGGACUUCAGCUUCAUCAAAAACUACCUCGACCAAAAACUUUAACCUGAAACUCCCAUUUUCAUUUUCUAUGUUCAGUGGACCGUGAAAUUGGUGUCAAAAGUGUAAUUGGGCUUUAAAAUUAGAAAGAUCAUAUCAUAAGCAACUAGUGUACUAAGUUUCAAGUUGAUUGGACUUCAGCUUCAUCAAAAACUACCUUGACCAAAAACUUUAACCUGAAACUCCCACUUUCAUUUUCUAUGUUCAGUGGACCGUGAAAUUGGGGUCAAAAGUCUAAUUUGGCUUUAAAAUUAGAAAGAUCAUAUCAUAAGCAACAAGUGUACUAAGUUUCAAGUUGAUUGGACUUCAGCUUCAUCAAAAACUACCUUGACCAAAAACUUUAACCUGAAGUCGGACGAACGAACGAACGGACGGACGGACGAACGGACGAACGAACGAACGGA